rnacentral:rRNA from 1 species
CGGACGGGUGAGUAAUGUCUGGGAAACUGCCCGAUGGAGGGGGAUAACUACUGGAAACGGUAGCUAAUACCGCAUAACGUCGCAAGACCAAAGAGGGGGACCUUAGGGCCUCUUGCCAUCAGAUGAACCCAUAUGGGAUUAGCUAGUAGGUGAGGUAACGGCUUACCUAGGCGACGAUCCCUAGCUGGUCUGAGAGGAUGAUCAGCCACACUGGGACUGAGACACGGCCCAG